GGAGGAGGAGGACGGUAGGAGCGUGUGCUCGCGCGCGCACGCGUUCACGUGGUGUUGAUGAUGAUUGUUGUCUGCACGGAUUCCUGUGUCUUACCACGCAACAUGCAACCAACACCGCGUCCGAAGUUCUCACAGAGCUGGUGGACUACAGUGACCUAACAACAAAGGCUAAAGGCCAGAACAGAUGAACCUACCUUCCUUUGCUGACACACUGGGCUAAAGGGACAGACGGGGAAGUGAAACAGAGAGUAUGAAGAAGAGCCAUGAGCUGCCAUGUGACAGGAGUGAACAGAAAACAUUCACAUGGAGAGACGUGAGGAUGUCAAAGUCAUUAUCAGGAUAUCAAUGUUAUUUAAGCCUGAUUGUGUCUCUGGGUUGUAUUAUGUUGUAGAAAAUCAUGUUUCACUUUCAAAUAGGAAAUUAUAAUAUUAAUAAUAACACAAAUACAGUAAUCUUACAAGUGCAAUAACUAAAAUGGUUCUAACUUUAGC